GGCAAGAUGGCCGAGCGGUCUAAGGCGGCCGAGUCAAGAUUAACUCUUAUCUCGCAUAUUGAGGUGUCACUUCGGCUCUCGAAAGAGGCGUGGGUUCAAAUCCCACUCUUGUCA